ensembl:lncRNA
AGACCCGGCGGCCUCGGCUGCGGUGCACGCGGCCCCGGCCCAGCCACGCGCGGCGGAAGGCGCCCUGCGGGGGCCGGGGCUGGAGACGGUGGGAGAGAGCAAGAGGGGCGCACGGGGAGGCGCAGGAGAGGGGUUGGGGUUGCCGGUGGGUUGGUCCCGCGAGAGCUGAGCCUCUCCUCCCAUCCCCCCCCAGGCCUCCCCGAAUGUUUCCAAAGAUCUGGGGCGGGAGCGGGCGGAGACUGCCGCCAGGAGCCUCCCGGCCGGCCCAGGGCUGCGCAGCCACUGGAGCCCAUCACCCAACUCCAGACGCUCCUGGCUCCCCAGCGUGGGCCGGGAGUGACAGCUUUGCUGACUAGGGGAGGGGGCACGGGACCUUGCAGAGCUCCUGGCCGGAAAGGGAGGAUUGACCGCUCCCCCGCGUAUCACCCCGGAGCACUGGAACCCGCCCCCGCUUCUUGUUCUGGCACUGGUGGUGCUUGCGGUGAGGUCCAAGGAGCCCAGCCUCCCGGAGUGGACCGCCGGGCCGCUCCCCAUUCCCACAGGAGAGGCUCCCGCCUCUUGCUGGCUGGGCAGCCCCUAGAUACCUGGCUCCCAGGGGCCAGCUUCCCUGAGCCUGGGGACGAGCCUGCAGCCUGGACCCCACGGGCGCCCCCUACGGCCUGCCGGCUCCCUCUGGGUUCCACAGCCCACCCGGCCUUCCUAAUUGCCUUCUGCUCCCACCGGUGCCUUAGCUCAGCCUGGUGGCCCUGCGGGUUGGGUGCCAACCAGUGGGCAGAUGGCGGCACCAACUGGACCUGUUUGCGGCCCUGUAUGCCAGGACUUCCUCAGAGACAGGACGGCUGCUCUGGUUUGUGACUUCCGGACAGGACGGCCAUCCUCUCCAGAAUGAAGAUCUUCUUGCCGGUGCUGCUGGCUGCGCUUCUGGGUGUGGAGCGAGCCAGCUCGCUGAUGUGCUUCUCCUGCCUGAACCAGAAGAGCAAUCUGUACUGCCUGAAGCCGACCAUCUGCUCCGACCAGGACAACUACUGCGUGACCGUGUCUACUAGUGCCGGCAUUGGGAAUCUCGUGACAUUUGGCCACAGCCUGAGCAAGACCUGUUCCCCGGCCUGCCCCCUCCCAGAAGGCAUCAAUGUUGGUGUGGCUUCCAUGGGCAUCAGCUGCUGCCAGAGCUUCCUGUGCAAUUUCAGUGCAGCCGACGGCGGGCUGCGGGCAAGCGCUACCCUGCUGGGCGCCGGGCUGCUGCUGAGCCUGCUGCCGGCCCUGCUGCGGUUCGGCCCCUGACCGCCCAGACCCUGUCCCCCGAUCCCCCAGCUCAGGAAGGAAAGCCCAGCCCUUUCUGGAUCCCACAGGGUAUGGGAGCCCCUGACUUCUCACGUGCCUGAUCUGUGCCCUUGGUCCCAGGUCAGGCCCACCCCCUGCACCUCCACCUGCCCCAGCCCCUGCCGCUGCCCCAAGUGGGGCCAGCUGCCCUUACUUCUGGGGUCGAUGAUGUGACCUUCCUUGGGGGACUGCGGAAGAGACAAGGGUUCCCUGGAGUCUUAGGGUCCUUCAUCAGGACCAAGUCCCAUGGACACGCUGACAGCCCCCAGGGAGGCUGUGUCAGUAGGGAUGUGUGCCUAGCUGUGUACGUGGGUGUGCAGUGCAUGUGGGAGCACGUGGCGGCUUCUGGGGGCGGUGUUUGGGGAGGGAGGGGUGCCGGCAGCCUGGAGAGCCUCAGUCUCCUGUAGCCCCUGCCCUGGCACAGCCGCAUGCCCGUCAAGGGCAGCCUUUGGGAGCUGGGAUUUCUGCCGCUUCCAGGUCUAGGCCCCGCCCCAAAUCCAGCCAGUCCUGCCCCAGCCCACCCCUACAUUGGAGCCCUCCUGCUGCUGUGGUGCCUCAAAUAAAUACAGAUGUCCC